rnacentral:tRNA from 1 species
GGUGAGAUGGCCGAGCGGUCUAAGGCGCCAGACUAAGGAGACCAACGCAUUUGAUGCGCAUUUAUCUGGUCCGAAAGGGCGUGGGUUCGAAUCCCACUCUCAUCA